rnacentral:rRNA from 1 species
UAAGCAGAGUAUGAAAUAUCACGGCUCAACCGUGAAACCGUAUUCUGAACUGGUAGACUAGAGGAUGAGAGAGGUUAUUGGAAUUUCUUGUGUAGGAGUGAAAUCCGUAGAUAUAAGAAGGAACACCGAUGGCGUAGGCAGGUAACUGGCUCGCACCUGACACUGAGGCACGAAAGCGUGGGGAGCAAACGGGAUUAGAUACCCCGGUAGUCCACGCCGUAAACUAUGGAUGCUA